rnacentral:rRNA from 1 species
UACGGAGGGGGCUAGCGUUGUUCGGAAUUACUGGGCGUAAAGCGCACGUAGGCGGCUUUGUAAGUUAGAGGUGAAAGCCCGGGGCUCAACCCCGGAGGUGCGGCCGAGACUGCAGGGCUGGAGGCCGGAAGAGGAGGGUGGAAUACCCAGUGUAGAGGUGAAAUUCGUAGAUAUUGGGUGGAACACCGGUGGCGAAAGCGGCUCUCUGGUCCGGACCUGACGCUGAGGCGCGAAAGCGUGGGGAGCAAACAGG